rnacentral:ribozyme from 13 species
ACAGGCAAUGAAUGAAACGAACAAAAAAAAUAGGAGCAAGAUUGGUGAAGACGGUAAAGUCUUUACAAUGGGUGAGAAUGACUUGGGUUUUUCUGUUUCUUCAUCAUUAUCCUCUUCC